GGGGAUUUAGCUCAGUGGUAGAGCGCUUGCCUAGCAAGUGCAAGACCCUGGGUUCGGUUCCCAGCUCCG
rfam:Rattus norvegicus chromosome 2, whole genome shotgun sequence.